GGAGGGCCGUCGUUGGGUCCCACCUCCUCCGACUUCGCCUCGUCCACUCCACCACGCCGCCGAAAGCCGCAACUCUCCACCGCCGGCUCGGCGUCGGCGUCCGAGACCGAGUAGUAAUCCACAGAUCUCCUCCUCCUGUUCUUCUCCUCCAAGAAAGAAAUCUUGAAAGCCCCCCAACACCAGCCGACCCCUAACUCGAUCUCGUCUCCGUAUAUACACUGAUCUCCCUCCCGCCGCGAGUGUAGCAGCAGCUCCGCCGCCGCGGUGAGCACCCCGCACGGCACAUCCUCUGGCGCCCUUUUCCCACGCAAUUUUGGGGUUGAGUUGAGUUACUAGAGAUUUUGGUUGCGACCUAGGGUCCGGGAGUUAGUUUGCGAUGCAUCUAUAUGAACAAGGAGCGAUCAUGUCUUCUAUGGAAUCAUCUUGCCUUCCUGCAACCACUGAGUCAAUAGCGAAGGCUCAGGAAGCUAAAGACGCUUCGGAGUCCAUUUCAAUCCUUUACCGUGUUCUACAAGACCCGUCAUCUUCUGCAGAGGCUCUGAGAACCAAGGAACUUGCAAUUACAAAUCUUACCAACUACCUCACUAAAGAGAACCGGGCUGAGGAGCUGCGAAACCUUCUAACCCAGCUCAGGCCUUUUUUCUCGUUGAUUCCCAAGGCAAAGACUGCAAAAUUGUCCGUGGAAUCAUCGAUGCUGUUGCCAAGAUAAUAGGAACAUCUGAACUUCAGAUCUCACUCUGCAAGGAGAUGGUUGAAUGGACCCGUGCUGAGAAGCGGACAUUCCUUAGGCAGCGUGUGGAGGCAAGGCUAGCAGCCCUUCUGUUAGAGAAUCAGGAGUACACUGAUGCUCUUACUCUCCUUACUGAUCUUAUCAAGGAAGUCAGGAGGCUUGAUGACAAGUUGCUUCUUGUGGACAUUGAUCUUCUGGAGAGUAAACUCCACUUUUCUCUGAGAAACCUGCCAAAGGCCAAAGCUUCAUUGACUGCUGCUAGAACAGCAGCGAAUGCCAUUUAUGUUCCACCAGCACAACAGGGUACUAUUGAUAUACAGAGUGGAAUCCUUCAUGCUGAAGAAAAGGACUACAAGACUGCUUACAGCUACUUUUUCGAAGCAUUUGAAGCAUUCAGUGCCCUGGAGGACCCAAAGGCCAUCUUCAGCUUGAAGUACAUGCUCCUGUGCAAGAUAAUGGUUAACCAAGCUGAUGAUGUCGCAGGAAUAAUCUCAUCUAAGGCUGGUUUGAAGUAUCUGGGUCCUGAUGUUGAUGCUAUGAAAGCUGUAGCUGAUGCCUACUCAAAAAGAUCUCUCAAGUACUUUGAAACUGCCCUUCGUGAUUACAAGUCUCAGCUGGAGGAGGACCCUAUUGUGCACAGGCAUCUUUCAUCUCUGUAUGAUGCCCUCCUGGAGCAGAACCUGUGCAGGCUGAUUGAGCCGUACGCAAGGGUGGAGAUUGCACAUAUCGCGGAGAUGAUUGAGUUGCCAGUUGAUCAUGUUGAGAAGAAGCUGUCGCAGAUGAUCCUUGACAAGAAGUUUGCAGGAACUCUCGAUCAAGGUGCUGGCUGCCUCAUUAUCUUUGAGGAUCCCAAGACCGAGGCAAUCUUCCCUGCUACACUUGAAACUAUUUCGAAUGUUGGGAAGGUCGUUGACAGUCUUUACAUGAGGUCUGCCAAGAUCAUGGCUUAAUGUCUUUACAGUCAUUUGCGUUUACUUGUUAUCUCUAAUUUCAUCUUGCUUCAGUUACUGUUGGUCUUCAUAGACAUUUAAUCCUGCAUAUUGACAUUUUUAUUCUGCAUGUUGAUCUCUCCUAGUUAAAGAAAAGGUACCCUCUUGAAUGCCAACAAAUACAAUUUGGUGUUUCUUACUUCGUAUGGUGCAACUGUGCUAGUACCAUAAACAUAACCUGAUGCCUAGGUUAUAUUUGUUAUGUCAACUUAUUUUGUCUUUAAUGUCAGGCUAGCUUAUUUACGAUCUUAUGAUGUUACAAUGCACAUGGAUGGCUAUCAUUUUGCUGGAAAGAGAGAGAUGAACAGGUUGGAUGGCUAUCAUUUUGCUGGAAAGAGAGAGAUGAACAUGUGAAAAUUGUGAUGAACUGCCUUGUCAAAGCUUUCCAGAGAGAAACAUGUGAAAAUUGUGAUGAA